CAUUGCUUAUAUAAGACACCUUUCUGCCAGGCUUCCCGAGGUUACAUCUAUUAUCUAUAUCUUUCAUUGAACUUAAUGAUUUUAUUUUUAGUUGACUACAAGAAUCAAAUUGCAGCCUGCAGGUAUCUCUUUCUAUCUUUCACUUGUGUAGUCCCCUUAAUAGGAUCCGGUAUUAAAAAAAUUAAACACUUUAUUUGUUGUUUUGUAUACUGUGAAAUGAAUGACUUUCAGGUGAAAAGGGAAGAUUAAAUCAAAUAGUAGAUAAAGAUCUAAUGGGAGAGUGACUUAUUUAAAUGGGAAGAAAUUGUCCAUGUUGCACUCAUGUGUAGACAUAUUUUAGGUGACUUUGUUUAUUAUGUGGAAUUGCAUAUGCCUCUAAGUACUAAGGCACCACAUGUAGAGUUAUGAAUUUUGUGACAAUCUGAGCUGGUAAUUAAGGCAUUUUUCAUGUAUCAAAGAUCAACUAUUUUGAAAUCAGUGGUGUCAUUUAUAAGCAAAGGAUUGAUUAAGUUUGUCAUUUUGAUACCUCUAGAUAUAUUUGAGUUGUAUUUUGAAGUUGGAUUAUUUUAUAACCAAUACUUGGUUAAUAUUGUAGUGCAUGUCACUUAUUUUAUUUCUUAUGAGCAGUUUGAUUUUAGGAUUAAUGAAAUUUGUUUGGUUUUUAUUAUCCAG
rnacentral:lncRNA from 1 species